rnacentral:lncRNA from 1 species
CACGGAGUCGCACAGCUGCUACAACGUAAACCACCCAGUGUUCUGGCAGUCUGCGCAGGAAGCGGACGCAGCACAGCAGACAAGAAGCUAGCGGUCUGUCAGUCCCACUAUCUGCAGAAUAAACCAGGCUACAUAAGAAGCGGAGCAGAUAACCACUCGGACAGAUCCAUGUCCCGUCCCAGCGGUUGAAAGAACAGAAAUAAACGAGAGGACACCUUCACAUGCAUGAAGAGCAACACAACACAAGGGACUGCGAGUGCAGGUGAGGUGAGGACAAGGACAAGUCCUUCAUCCGUCCAUCAACGUCCGAAGUGUCCCGGUGCCGCCCACUCUCAGGUCACCUCAACCGCGACGGCGGCCGAACAAAUAGGAGUCUCUCGAACCCAGCGUCCCUCAGACUGCCUUCCUUCGCAAAGCAAAUAUUUGAGGCCAUUAUAUCUCAUUUCCCAGGGCUAACCUUCAGUGAAAAGAUCAACGGAAAAGGAGUGAUCGCUCAGAGAGAGACGGACAAAGAGAGAAAGAGAGAAAGAAAGAAAGAAAGAAAGAAAGAGAGAAAGAAAGAAAGAAAGAGAGAGAGAAAGGGGGAGGGUGAAAAAUAGUAACCCUUUCAAAGUGAACUCUGCCUGCUAUUUCUGCUGCGCUGUGGGCAGGAGAACAUCCCAUUUGGGAGUGCUGUUGGCCAGUGGCAACAGGAUUUCCCUGCACCCUGCCCAUUUAUCCAAAUGCCUGUGUAAAUACUAGAUAGAGAUAUCAAUUUGUCUGGGCUCCAACAGUGCCCAAAAAGAGACUAUAAGCUAUCUAUAGCAAGCUCCACAACAAACUUGGCCUAUGUGGUCACAGAAUUGCUACCUAUUUAUUUCCUCAGUAGAGAGAUUCAGGAACUGUGAGUGAGAAUGGGAGCUGCUAUGUCUUUAGUUCUGAAGCAGAAAGCUUACUGAAAAGCUCACACCAGACUUGAAAGGUACAACAAUAAAUCCAGGGGGAACACCUUUCGCCACUAGCUGCAGGAGAAGGCAGCCAUUUUGGGGCUGCUGUUUUGAUGUCUUU